GCCUUCGUGGUGUAGUGGUCAGCACCCUGAGCCGGUAUUUCAGAGGUCCGUGGUUCGAUUCCCGGCGAAGGCC
rfam:Stegodyphus mimosarum contig19700, whole genome shotgun sequence.